CGAUGGUUUCAGAUGAUCCAG
rnacentral:siRNA from 1 species